rnacentral:rRNA from 1 species
AUUGAACGCUGGCGGCAGGCUUAACACAUGCAAGUCGAGCGGGGUGAUGGUGCUUGCACUAUCACUUAGCGGCGGACGGGUGAGUAAUGCUUAGGAAUCUGCCUAUUAGUGGGGGACAACAUCUCGAAAGGGAUGCUAAUACCGCAUACGUCCUACGGGAGAAAGCAGGGGAUCACUUGUGACCUUGCGCUAAUAGAUGAGCCUAAGUCGGAUUAGCUAGUUGGUGGGGUAAAGGCCUACCAAGGCGACGAUCUGUAGCGGGUCUGAGAGGAUGAUCCGCCACACUGGGACUGAGACACGGCCCAGACUCCUACGGGAGGCAGCAGUGGGGAAUAUUGGACAAUGGGGGGAAUCCUGAUCCAGCCAUGCCGCGUGUGUGAAGAAGGCCUUAUGGUUGUAAAGCACUUUAAGCGAGGAGGAGGCUCUUUUGGUUAAUACCCAAGAUGAGUGGACGUUACUCGCAGAAUAAGCACCGGCUAACUCUGUGCCGGCAGCCGCCGUAA